rnacentral:lncRNA from 1 species
CUGUGAGGCUCUGUGUAAGACUCUGUUUUCUUCACUUUUGCAGCACUAGCUAAGGAUGGAACUGAAACCUAAUGAGGAAUCUUGUGCUGGCAGUGUUUCUUACCCAAAUGUGUCGGCUCGUGCAUUUCUGGGCAUCUGUGCUCAAUAUGAAGCACCUGCUCAUGUAAGGUGCCUUCUGGAUUUAAAAACGUUUCCAUAAAGUGGAGAUGCUCAGGUGCCUUUCCCUUCCAUGCCCUGGCAGUGAUACAGCAGGAGCUCUUGGCACCUGGAGACUCUGCUUUCACAACUGCUGCAAGGGCAAGGUGAGUUUGUGGUCUUUCCUCCUGGGAGAUGCUAUCAGGACAAGCUGCGAAGUGGGAUGUCUGAAACAGAUCAAGACGAUUUUCUAAACACCAGUACACAAGUAAGUGCUGUAAGUAAUUUGCAAGCUAGAGAAGGUGAGCCAAAAAUCACUCCCUGAGACAUACACGAGUGAGCAGAAUUAUGUGAAACUCUGCCUCUUUUGACAGCAACACUGAAUAUGGACAAAGUGCAUUUU